GCAGUCGAACGGUAACAUUUCUAGCUUGCUAGAAGAUGACGAGUGGCGGAUGGGGGGGUAAUACUUAGGGAUCUGCCCUUGGGUGGGGGAUAACCAUUGGAAACGAUGGCUAAUACCGCAUAAUGUCUACGGACCAAAGGGGGCUUCGGCUCUCACCUGAGGAUGAACCUAAGCGAGAUUAGCUAGUUGGUGAGGUAAAGGCUCACCAAGGCGACGAUCUCUAGCUGUUCUGAGAGGAAGAUCAGCCACACUGGGACUGAGACACGGCCCAGACUCCUACGGGAGGCAGCAGUGGGGAAUAUUGCACAAUGGGGGGAACCCUGAUGCAGCCAUGCCGCGUGUGUGAAGAAGGCCUUAGGGUUGUAAAGCACUUUCAGAUGUGAGGAAAGGUUGUUGGUUAAUACCCAGCAGCUGUGACGUUAGCAUCAGAAGAAGCACCGGCUAACUCCGUGCCAGCAGCCGCGGUAAUACGGAGGGUGCGAGCGUUAAUCGGAAUUACUGGGCGUAAAGCGCACGCAGGCGGUUUGUUAAGCUAGAUGUGAAAGCCCCGGGCUCAACCUGGGACGGUCAUUUAGAACUGGCAAACUAGAGUCUUGGAGAGGGGAGUGGAAUUCCAGGUGUAGCGGUGAAAUGCGUAGAUAUCUGGAGGAACAUCAGUGGCGAAGGCGACUCCCUGGUCACAGACUGACGCUCAUGUGC
rnacentral:rRNA from 1 species